CACGAACCGUGAGAUCAUGACCUGAGCUGAAGCUGGACGCUCAACCGACUGAGCCAUCCAGGAAAUCAUCUGCCAGAUUUGUGGUCAGUUUACUGUACUCUUCUAUGAAAACAGAUUCGUAACGGAACCUUUGCAGUGUGGAAGCAUUAAUUGAUCCUGAGUAUCAGUGAGUUGAGUCUGGAUUUGGGAAGAAAAGAGCAAUAAGAAGAAUACAGACUUGUGAACUAAAUGUUUAAAAGUGUGGAAUUGUGGUGACAACCAAAGUUUCAUGAGAGCACAUUACAUUUCCUUCAAGACAUGACAUUUUUAAAAAAGUCUUAAUCCAUAUAAGACUAUAUUUUUUAAUUUUUCAGGAAUCUGGUAUCCAGAUUGAACUAAGAAAAAAGUAAAAUGUUGCCUUAUGGAGAAGGCAUCUGUGCAGUGAGAAACAGAGAUUUCAUCCUGUACAAAACUCUCUCAGGCUGAAAUAUUGAGCAAAAAGUUUUCUAAAAGGCACACAUUUAAUCCUGGUUUAAGGAAAAGACCAUUAAAGACAGAAUAUUAGAAACAAAAUCCCCAUGGUAAUGCAUGCAAAUAUUCACAAUACAAAUCUCUGAAAUGCAAAAAGAAUAAUAUGAUUUCAAUACAUGGUUGAAAAUUAAUUUAUAUUCUAAGCAGCUCUGAGUGUAUCAGUUAUAUUUGAACAAUGAAAUUCAAGUGAAUCAUGUAGAAAUUAGAGUUAAUACUUGGUAUGGAUUCUAUUUCAUUUGUGUACUCUCUGUAAGCAAUGUAAUUACAUAAAAAGAGAGAUGGUUCAUCAUUAAGAAAUGACUUUUCCAUCUGGGCCUAUGAAUUAUUUUACUAGAAAGUAAUAAUAAUUUCUUGCUAAUGCAUAUAUCAAUUACUGCCAUAACAUAAUAAUAGCAAUGGUAAAUAUUAAAUAUUUAUUUUUUUAUAUAUUUUGCUCAUAUAAAAUGACUCAGACUGGAGAUUUCAGGAGAUAGAGAGGAGUUUCUCAAAUCAGAUAAAAGGUAGUGUAAUUUCACCUUGAACCAUAUAAAAAUACUUUUUUUAAUAGGUUAUAGGCCCAGGGGUGCCAGGGUGACUCGGUCAGCUAAACAUUUAACUUUAGCUCAUGAUCUCACAGCUUGUAAGUUGGAGCCCCACAUCAGGCUCUGUGCUGACAGCUCAGAGCCUGAAGCCUGCUUCAGAUUCUGUGUCCCCUUCUCUGUCUGCCUCUCCCCUGUUCAUGCUCUGUCUCUCUCUCCUCAAAAACAAAUAAACAUUAAAAAAAUGUUUUAAUAGGUUAUAAACAGAAAUACCAGAAAUGCCAUAUAGUUCUAGUUUGGUAUAUCAGAAAUUAAUUUUAUAAAUCCCAUAUUGCAGAAUUUCUAAGCUAUUUUUAAGUCUUCUUACAUAUUUUAUAUAAUCUGGGAUGACUUAAGGUAACUAUCAAUUAUUUUCACAAAUUUUCUAAGGAACCUGGAGAACCAUCUUCAGACAUGAACAUAUUAUUAUGAGGUGAUCAAGAUCAGGGAGUAGGAAUUUUGAUUGUCUCAACAUUCCUGAGGAAAAUAUUGAAAUAAAUAAUAUGGAUUUCUCUUUGAAAACUAUACAUUUCCUGAGUAAAUAUCAGAAUACAAAAGGCAGCAGCCAUAGUCUAUCAACCGACAUAAUGCAAAAAGAUCUAGUUAUAAAUUGUGCGUAUCUCAAAAAAUCCAAAUAGCCAAUGUUAUAAAUAAACAUUCAUUUAUCAAUCAGUAAAGCCAGCAUCUUUCCUCCAACUGAUUGUAGAAUAUUCUUGAAAUCAUUCUCCCACCCUUACCUUAUCCAAUCCCUUACCAAGUUGAAGAUACUAUCUGAUAAUGUCAAAAUCCUCUGCCCUACUUUCUAUCCUUCAUAGGAACUAUAGCAAGUCAAAAUUAUUAUAGUACACAGAUUCUAAGAUAAUCCUCAAUGAUCCCCACCUGCUGGUAUUUACUCACUCGUAUAACGCCUCCUCUCAACCUUCCACUCCCUGCUUGAUUGUGGGAGGAAACGAUGACUUACUCCUUAACAAUAGAAUAUGGGAAAUAUAUUGGGAUGUCAUAAGAAUGACAUCUGAUUCACUAGCAAACUCUUUCUCCUGCUGACUUUGCUGGAGCAAGUUCCCAUGUUGGGAGCUGCCCUGUGGAGCAGACCACGUGGCAAGGCACUGAAGAUGUUGGGCUCCAGUCAACAGACAGCAAGAAACCAAGGCCCUCAUUCAAACGGGCAUCUAGUACCUCAGGAAACUAAAUUGCGUCUACAAUUGAGUGAGCUUGUAAGGGGGAUAUUUCCACACUUGAAGUUUCAGAUGAGACUCCAGCCAUGCUUAACACCUUACAUGUGGGAGAUCCAGAAACAGAGAACCCAUUUCAACUUUGCCCAGUCUUUUGACUCAUGGAAACGUUGAGGCAAAAAUGUGUUUCAUUAUAUGCUUCUGUGUCUGUGGUACUUCAUCACCACAAAUAAAUAAUACAGAUACCAUUACUCUAACAUGGACUACUAGUGUUUUAUUAGCUUCUCCACUGCCACUAUCCAAAGCAUUCUCCUCCAUUCAACAACAGUUGUUUGUACGAAAUGCAAACCUAAUCACAAUGUCUUCUCUCUUUUUCCAACCACACAUACUGUUUAUAAUUCUUUAAUGGCUUCUCAUUGAUCAUAAGAAAUUUAUAUUUCCUUAAUAUGACCUAAAAACUUUCACCUGUGGCCUUCAUCUAUUUCUCCAGGCUGAUCAUUGUCCCUAGGGAGGAUUAUUCAGAUCCACUUACUGCCACACAGAGUUAGAAAAUUACUUGCUGGGGUGCCUGGGUGGCUCAGUUGGUUAAGCACCAGACUGAAUUUCAUGUUGGGUUCUGAUCUCUGGAUUUCGACUCAGGUCAUGAACUCAUGGUUUGUGAAUUGGAGCCCUCUGUCAGGCUCUGCACUGAGGAGCCUGCUUGGGAUUCUCUCUCUCUCCCUCUCUCUGCCCCUCCCUUGC